AUGAAGGAUUUGGGUAAACCAAAAUACCGCUCGUUACUACAACUUGAGCACCUUCAUUCAUACAUUAUGGUAUACUAUGUUGUCUAUAUCCAAAAUAUAUUGGAGAAUUUCAUUGUGCACAAAUCUUAUCUAUCCAUAACUCUUAUGGUAGUUCAUUCUUUAGACGUAGAGAAAGAUCUAUUAGACCGAGAGAUGAUGGAAAUGAGAUAUUGGGACUCAACGUUCCAUAAUGCCAUUGGAUCCACCAAACACAAUUGGUUGGUACUCAAGAAUAUCUUUCGAUAUCUCCAAGGCAUGAAACAUCUUGUCCUGGUUUUCAGUUUCGGAGAAAUCUGA
rnacentral:rRNA from 1 species